CAAAGGGUGGAACUGGAGGCCAACUUUCUGACAUCUUCUUAAGUAUUGUAAUGACCAGCACCAGUUUUAUUCCUCUAAAUGAGUUGUAAAUUUAUUAGGUACUUUUUAUUUCCGGGACACAGUACUAGGCAAUGGACAAUUCCUCAUAUCUAGAGGUGUGAGGAUUUGCUGAAGGAAGGGCAAAGUAUUGACACAGUGAGCUUUGCCCUGUUGGCUGUUGAGCAAUUCUGUUCCUGAAAGGGGACAUGAUCUUACCGUUAGAGGAAAGUCUUUGAGGAAGGUGGUAGAUCUUGGUCAAGCUGCUCCCUCCAAACGGAGAUCUGAUGAAGACUUUAGCUUAAAAAGUUCAAGGUCUCCCGCUGCAUCGAGAGCCAUCUCUAGUCAUCCUGAUCUUUAUCUGGCUGCUGGACCCAGAUGGCUCUGCUGGCGGAGAAGGGAGGCAGGUGACUUUGCCCAGCCCUCCCUCACUUAAAUCUAAUUCACCUGCAUGUCACAGCAUCACCUCUCUGAUGUCAUGGUCCUCUUCCAGAAUGAAAGACAAGCAACAACAACCCUUUUCAGAGAGAAAUUAUCACUGGAAAGCAGAUGCAACCAGAAACAGCCUAGAAUUUCUCAUGUCUCCACAAAAGGAUGCAUUAUAAAAGCCAUAAGAAUGGAAGAUAUCCCAGACUCCUCGGGCCAGCCAGAUGAUGAUACUACAAGCACAUGCAAUACAGUGGAAAGGCUGAGUUGGCUGAUGCAACUGCACAUUCAAUGAUGCUCACAAGAUGAAGAAACUGAGAAGACAGAUUAAGUGACUUGCCCAGAAUUACAUAGCUAAGAAGUGUUUGAGGACAGACUUGAUCUCAGAUUCAAAUUUAUCUAUCAUCCAUCCUCCUACACACAUAUCCCAAAAGUAAACUCGACACACUGAAGAAAGGGCAAUUUCAGAACUCUACCACGAUCUCAGAUAACCUUAGGAAACUUCACAGAAGUACCAUAAAAGGGAAAAAAAGAAUGUCUAUCAAAAUUUCCAGAACUCUUUUGUACAUACCGUGUACAACCUUGAGCCUACUUCCUCCUGGACUCUGUGAGUAUUUAUGGGAAAAUAUGUGCUUUGGAUAGAGACACACAGGAUAUUUGUGUAUAUUUGUGCUAAUUAUUAAUACUAUGCUACUUUAGUAAACACCCAUAUCUAAAAGUAAAUUAAAUCUGGCUGAGUAAUUAUUAACUGAUAAUCAAUGGGAAAAGCAUAGUCAUUUGGAUACAAUAAUGAUAGAGCUAGAAAAUUAUUCCUCAGCUCCAAAGAGUAACCUAGAAUAAAGAAGAAUCAUUUCUACCCUCUAUAUAUCCAGCCUACCCAAGUGAGGGAGGGUUGAAAGACUCAUAUGAGAGACAUUUUAAAGAGUCAGUUUCACUUAUCAGUUCCAUAUUCUUUUCUGUUUCCAUUUCUCUAGUUCUAUAAUUUUUAAAUUUUCUCCUCUUAUGCUUAUUUUAG